CUAGUCCUAAUAAUGACCGUCUGAAUCUGAUUAAAGUAGACCUUUCUUCUCCAGAGUUUGAAGUAAAAGGACAAUGAGUUUCCUCUCAGAAAAGCUGCGUGUGAGAAAGGGUCUUCAGGCAGGUGUGAGGUGAAGGUAAAGACUCUGGGUCUUCAGGCAGGUGUGAGGUGAAGGUGAAGACACUGGGUCUUCAGGCAGGUGCGAGGUGAAGGUGAAGACUCUGGGUCUUCAGGCAGGUGUGAGGUGAAGGUAAAGACUGAGUCUUCAGGCAGGUGUGAGGUGAAGGUGAGACUCUGGGUCUUCAGGCAGGUGUGAGGUGAAGGUAAAGACUCUGGGUCUUCAGGCAGGUGUGAGGUGAAGGUGAGACUCUGGGUCCUUCAGGAAGGUGUGAGGUGAAGGUGAGACUCUGGGUCUUCAGGCAGGUGUGAGGUGAAGGUAAAGACUCUGGGUCCUUCAGGCAGGUGUGAGGUGAAGGUAAAGACUCUGGGUCUCCAGGCAGGUGUGAGGUGAAGGUGAGACUCUGGGUCUUCAGGCAGGUGUGAGGUGAAGGUGAGACUCUGGGUCCUUCAGGCAGGUGUGAGGUGAAGGUGAGACUCUGGGUCCUUCAGGCAGGUGCGAGGUGAAGGUAAAGACUCUGGGUCCUUCAGGCAGGUGUGAGGUGAAGGUGAAAACUCUGGGUCCUUCAGGCAGGUGUGAGGUGAAGGUGAAGACUCUGGAUCUUCAGGCAGGUGUGAAGGUGAAGCCACUGGGGUCCUUCAGAGAGUAAUGUUAUGAGAGGACGGUGGUUACCAGGGUUACCAUAGAUAAACCAAUAGAUGGCAGCUAGGGUCAUGAUGACAUGGAUAACAUG
rnacentral:lncRNA from 1 species